rnacentral:lncRNA from 1 species
AGAGAGGCAGGCGGGCAGGAGCUGCAGGGGCGGUGGGUGCCAGGCUGGACAAAGGCCCAGGAGGCUGGGGAGCAGGGGGCAUGGCUCGCUGCGGGCCCCUGGGGACAUCUGAUCCAGGCUGGGGCUGUGUCUGCAUCUGGGUGACCUCAGGGCCAAGUGGCUGUCCGUGAGAAUUCCCAGAGCAUUUUGAAGCCCGAUGCCUCCAUAGGGACAUUUGGAGACAGAAAAGCAGGAGUGGAAGAGAAAGCCGAGCGCAGCGGAGGGAUGCUACAUAAAGGCAACGGUGACCAUGGACAGAGGGCUCCCUCCCGUGCCAGGCACGAUCUGUCACCCGGAGCUUCUCACCUAGUUUUGCAAUAACCACAUGGGGUGUGGUGUCACGUCCACUUCACAGGUGAGGAAUCAAGCAUCUUACCCAAGACCUGACAGCUUUUAAAAUAGAGCGGGGAGAAAGCAAACCAGUGGAGGACAACGACGUUGAGAACGGCCUGCGGAUGGCGGCUGGGCAGCGCCGGGUCUGAAGGUCAGGCUUCCCAACUUGAACAAGCUAAGAAGCCAGUGGGGUCACAUCUGCUCCUUUGUGGCCCAUAUUAUUAAAGCAGGACGAGAUGGGAUGACCACACCAGGUAACACGGUCCAAGUCUCAGGUAGCAGCCAGACGUGCCUGAACUCUCUACCCUGUCCGGCACCUGUGCUCCACUCCUCCAACAGCAAGAAGACACAAGGCUUAAAGCGUCUCAUAGCUCAGAAACCACUUCCCCCACUUUUGUCUUCUUCUUCUUUUUGGUGGUGUCCCUGAGCCCAUCUCUCAGCUCAUGCCCACUCUCUGGCACAGCCUUGGUCUUCUUAUUCUUGUUCUCGUUCUUCUUUUUUUUUUUUUGAUUUUUUUUUUUUUUUUGCUGAGGAAGAUUCUCCCUGAGCUAACAUCUGUGCCCAUCUUCCCCUAUUUUGCAUGUGGGUCACCGACACAGCACAGCCACUGAUGAGUAGUGUAGGUCCAGGCCCAGGAACCGAACCUGGGCUGCCGAAGUGGAGUGCACCAAACUCAGCCAGCAGGCCCCAGGCCCAGCCCCCUCUUCUUCUCCUUCUUAACUGGGGAGCCACUAGAGAGGCCUCCUCACGUUCACCCCCACUCCCUCACUUCCACUUUGGGGCAUUUACUGUUUCAGCAACCACCUCUCUGUCUGCAGAAUCGCUGAGAGAGGAGACGUGGCAGCAGGUCAGGUUCUCUGAGCGGCUCUCCAAGGAGGUACCACCGUCUCCUCAGUUCAUCUGUGCUCUCCGGCAAGUCCAAAGUCACCCUCAGAACACCGAGGCUGGACACAACUCCCCCGUGCGCCUGCGGGGCCACACCUUCUCAAGUCCCAUGAGCCCGAGCAGGAGGGGAUACUGUCUGCUUUGUCCUUUUUGUUGCAAUACAAUCUCACAGUCUCAGGGAAGAUGCAAGAAUUGUGCAAAAAAAGAACUCUCAUGUCCCCUUCCCCAGAUUCUCCCAUCAAUAACAUUUGCUUUCUCUCUCUCUCUAAACACAGAUAAAUAAAGAUGCAAGAUAGAAAGAGAGAGAGAGAGGUUUUUUCCCCUGCGCCGUCAUAGAUUAGGUCGCAGAAACCACACCUCUUCACUAAAUAUCUUUGCUUGAUAUCUCAGAGUAUUUCCUAAGAACAAGGACUUUGUCUUAUGUAAUCACAGCACAAUUUUCAAUAUCUGGAAAUGUAACGUGAACAUGGGACUACUACGGAACUCCCAGUUCACACUUACAUUUUGCCAAUUGUCCCCCCAGGCCGGGCUCAAAUCCAGGACCACGUUUUGCACUUACCUGCCAUGUCACUUUAGUCUCCUUUCACCUGCCUUUCUUUGUCUUUCAUGAUUCUAAGUUUUUUGGUAAGAGAACAGGCAGGUUAUUCAGAAUGUCCCAUAAUCUGCAUUUAUUUUACG